rnacentral:tRNA from 2 species
GGCCGCGUGGCCCAAUGGCAAGGCGUCUGACUACGAUUCAGUCAUUCAUCAGGAGAUUCUGGGUUCGAGCCCCAGCGUGGUCA